CAAAACGGCUGGUGGGCUGCACGGGAAGAACCGCGCAUGACACGUCAAUCCAAGAUGGAGGCAGCAGGCCGAGAAGCUGCACUCGGCCCUCGGAAUCCAUUAGGCGCACGCACGCAGGCACGUGCAGAGAGAACCCCGCCCCCUCCUUGCUUUGGCACGCACGCAGGCACGUGCGGAGAGAACCCCGCCCCCUCCUUGCUUUGGCGUAUAUAAAGCAGCCCCCACCACAGCCUUCGGCCCUGAAGAGCACGUGCUCCAGUGCGUGAGCUGGUGUCUCUCCGUUCGUCUGUCAGAGAAGGACGCUUUCCUUUGCUUCUGAAGCUAACUGAGUCACAUUCUGUCAGCUGAAAGGACACCGAGCAGAAGGACCGUUCAUAAGGAAAGUCCUUGACUUAAUAAGCAAAGGAAAAAUGUAUGCUGCGGUUCCUGAAGAUCUCUGAUUUAAGUUUAAACAAAGAAGGCUUCUUUGAAAGGUCCAAGUAAGAAAUGCCAAGCUAAGGAGGAUGGAGCUGGCCUGGGAGCUUUGUGAGUUAUCAGCGUAAAUUACAUGCCUGGCGCACAGCAAGCGUUCCAUGAUGAUUUGUUGAACAGGAACUUAUUUCAAUGGAAAAUUACGGAGGACAUGUGAAACAAUUCAUGUAGUUAGCCUUGUGCCGACAUUGAGUAAGUCUUCAGCGCAUGUGAGACACCCUUAUUGUUGUUGUUGUUAUUAUUUACAUUGAGUAAAUGUUUUUAAAUAAAAUAAGUUCUAGGCUAUUUCAGGAUAAACCUCAGCAGGUAACACAAAUCAGUGGGCACUAAGAAACUAUAUUUUAUUAGGUCAUGUCAUAUUGGUCAAGCCUAAGGAAACCUCUAAAAUUUGGCUUCUCAGCCAGAAAGGCAAUUCAUCGAUUUACAAUAGAAGAUAUAUUUUUUUCCCUAGGGGUCAGGACUUCCUGAAAUCAGUGUCUUUGGAACACAGAAUUAGUUCUAAAUGUUGCUUUUAAGCUCUGAAUACAAACAAAGGGAGCUGUCUUUAUGGUCUUGUAGGGUUUGAGAUGUGGGCUGGAGACUUAGUUCCACUAUUCUGGUACCUUUCUGGUUGCUAGAAAGGUAUGUAAAACAUGUCUGUCAGCCUCUCUUUCUCACUGUUUAUCUUCCCUUAGAGAAUGAAGGAUAAAUAUGACAGUUCUGCUAUCUAUAUCUAAUAUAAUUUUGAAGCUGAAAGAAACCUUGGUGGUGGUUUAAUUGCUAAAUCAUGUCCAAUUCUUGCGACCCCAUGAACUGUAGCCCACCAGGUUCCUCUGUCCUUGGGAUUUUCCAGGC